GAUUAGAACAAUCAGCACCUGGGGCCUGGCGCAAGGAGGCAUUUACAGAUUAGACUCUGUGACUAAGACAGAAGCCUAGACCUGGCCACACAGUAGGAGGCAGAAGGAGGGGCAGAUGGAGGCUUGCCAUGAACUAAUGGACUGGAAGAAAUAAGAUGCAGACUGAAAGGAAAAGCCAGAAUGAAAGAGGAGCAUUUUCCAGAACAAUCUUCG
ensembl:lncRNA